GACGAACCGUGCGAACGUUGUUCGGAAUCACUGGGCUUAAAGGGCGCGUAGGCGGGCUCGCCAGUCAGGGGUGAAAUCCUCCAGCUCAACUGGAGCAGUGCCUUUGAUACUGCGAGUCUCGAGGGAGGUAGGGGCGUGCGGAACUUCCGGUGGAGCGGUGAAAUGCGUAGAUAUCGAGAGGAACACCUGCGGCGAAGGCGGGUUGCUGGGCUGACACUGACGCUGAUGCGCGAAAGCCAGGGGAGCGAACGGG
rnacentral:rRNA from 1 species